UUUAAAUUCUAGUUUUAAAGUUGACAGGCUAAUGUUUACGUUUGUAGCAGUGUUGUUACACUAGUAUAGAUCUAAAUCUAGAUCUAGUUAGAGUCUAGAUCCAGAUUCCUCUAGGCUCUAUAAUAAACAAACUAAAGCUUUUGGAUGUUUUCUAUAAGUACCCAAGCCAAAUAUUGGCUUUUCACUGGCGAAACAGAGCUGGCAACUUGCAGAGCAGAAGCCAACAGGUCAUAUAUAAGUAGUAGGAGAGCUCAUCUCACAGACAAUGAAGUGGCCUCUUGCUUUUUAACACCAAUGGAAGAGAAACUUUUAAGUCGUCAGUAUGAAGUUGUUCUUCGAAAAUUUUGUUCUGAAUUUCAACCACCAAUGCCUAAAUGUGUUAUAGGUACAUCACUGGCAUAUUUUAAAAGAUUUUAUGUCCAUAAUUCUAACAUGGAUUACCACCCUAAAGAUAUCAUGUUAACCUGUGUUUAUUUGGCUUGUAAAGUUGAAGAAUUUUAUGUUCCCAUCGGCCAGUUUGUUAAAAACCUCCGAGGAGAUAGGGAAAAGUUUGCAGAUGCUAUACUGAGCUUUGAGUUAACCCUCAUGUCUAAACUGAAUUAUCACCUAACUGUACACAAUCCAUUUAGACCAAUGGAAGGUUUUAUUAUUGAUAUAAAGACUCGCUACAAAGAUAUACAAAAUAUUGAAAUUGUCAGAAGAACUGCUGAAGAGUUUAUGGAAAGAAGUUUGCAGUCUGAUGCCUGUUUAAUUUUCUCUCCAGCACAGAUAGCAUUAGCUGCUUUAAGUUUUGGUGCUACAAAAGAAGGACUUUCAUUAGAUAGAUAUAUUAAGGAAAUACUUUUUAAAACUGCAACAGAAAAAGAAGCUGAAGACACAUUAUAUCAACUUCGGCGAGUCAAGUUUAUAGUUAAGAACACAGAAUCUGUACCAAGAGAACAAGCCCAAGCUAUUCAAAAGAAAUUAGAUCAGUGUCGAAAUCAAGAAAACAAUCCAGAUAGUGAUGUGUAUAAACAACGCAUGCUAGAAAAGUUAGAUGAGGAAGAAGAUGUGAGACACAGAAAAAGAGCAAAAUUAGUAGCCGAUGUCUCCCCCUAAUCUUGGUCUGUGUUUCAUCUAUCUCACUCCUCCAUCUUCUGGUUGACACACUUCCUGAGCAUGCUUUCAAACGUUUCUGUGAGCUAAGAGACAAUGCCCUGUCAUUUGUUUUUAAUGGAAUGUCCAGCUCAUUGGAGCCAUAAAAUCCAGCCAGGUAGUUUUCUUUCUCUGUUUAUUGAAAAUCAAUACUUUUAUUUAGAUGAAAUGGGAGAACAAGUGCAGCGGUUAUGGACUGACAAAACAAACAUGUCUCCUCUAUUUAUACUUUUCCUAAGUUAAAACUAGAAAUAAGAAAAAUAUUAAAAUACUUUUUUAAAAACAAAACUUAUAAUAAGCGUAGUUGUAUCAAUUAGUUUGGAUCAAGUCAUUUAAUUAAAUUUGUAAUAGAUCUAGAUUAAGAAUAAUAAAUCUGUGUGAUUACAAAUAUUUUUACCAAUUGUUUUUGUUAGCACAAUUUCAUGUUUUUAGCUUUCUCAAUGUACUAUGAUCCUAUCACUUGUCUGGACCAGUUGGGAAAGAGUUCCGGGGAGAAAGAAAGGGGUAUCUGGUUGAAAGUUACCGUGAUAACUUUUUAAAUGCAUUUAUGUUUUAAAAAGUUGAAUGACCUGAAUUCAAGCUCAAGGGCUGAAGCCUCUUCAAGCUAACACUAACCACUGUGCCAGCCAACUUUGGCAUUUGAGCUGUAGGUGCUUUCACAGUUUGUGCAAGGAACGGUAGUGUGCUUUUCUUCUCAGCUGCACUUAGGGUGUUGAUUAUACUGUCCAUCAGAUAUAAACUUUGGAGAGUCCAUCCAUCAGUUCUAGUGACUACGAUUUUACAGGUUUAGGAAGGUAAGCUGCCAUGUGGGCAACAGUCCAUCCAUCAUUGUCUGUAAUAGACAUUAGCUGGUAUCCAAUAUCAGAGUCUUUUGACUGACUCAAACCAAGUUUGUUUAGCAGCGGCUUCAGAAUAUGGGAAUGAUUAUUUUGGACAGCGUAGUGGACACUGGUCAAACCAGCCUUUAAGU